rnacentral:lncRNA from 1 species
GCCGCCCCACCCCCCCUCCUGAGCACAGGAAGGAAUGAAUAAGCUCCACCUUAGCCUCCCAACCAUGCUGGCUUCCUUGUGGUCCCAGCUGUCUAGAUGUGUUCUGAAUUUUAAGGUGUGAUAACAAGAAUGUGUUUCCUCUGAAUCCAGAAGUCAUAUUGGGUCCUUGAGGUGGCCCUGUGGUCUACUUCCUAGAGUCUAACUGCAGGGAUGGCUCUAUUCAGCAUGCGUUACAUCAUGGAGUUCUUAGUACUGCAUCGGCCAUCCUCCACAGCAUCUGCCUCUGCUGCUUCCAGCCCGGUCUUCCCGUCUGCAGUGGCUUGCUUCUCAUCCAUGUCUUUCCAGACCUCUCCCAACUCACCCUUUGUUUCGUUCUUUUAUCUACCCUUGUCAUCCAGAGCACUUAGCUGCCGGUUCUGCUUUUAUAAAUAUUUUUUAAAAAAUAAAUCCCUUCAUUCCUUCAUGAA